AUACGGAGGGUGCAAGCGUUACUCGGAAUCACUGGGCGUAAAGCGCGCGCAGGCGGCUAUUUAAGUUGGAUGUGAAAGCCUACGGCUCAACCGUAGAACUGCAUCCAAAACUAUUUAGCUAGAGGGUGGGAGAGGAAGAUGGAAUUAGUUGUGUAGGGGUAAAAUCCGUAGAGAUAACUAGGAAUACUAAAAGCGAAGGCAAUCUUCUGGAACACUACUGACGCUGAGGCGCGAAAGCGUGGGGAGCAAACAGGAUUAGAAACCCCGGUAGUCC
rnacentral:rRNA from 1 species